rnacentral:lncRNA from 1 species
AGCAAUCCUGAGAGAUCAAGAUCUAGCAUAGAAUUGGAUCAAGAUCUAGAAUGGAAACUCCUAAGGAUGAAAAUGACAUCUUUUACAGCUGUGUGAUCCUCCUGAAAAUCAGAAGUCACAAUUUGAGUGCAGGAAAAAGGGGGCACUCUUUGGAUGAUGAAGCCCAGAUCAUAAAAACAACAAUGAAAUGAUAAGGAGUAUCUUUGGAGGGCCCCCGAGGUGACUCCUCAGGAAUGAGUAUGGGAGAACAAAGGAGAAUAGCAGAGAGAAUGGGAGACAAGGCUCUCAGGAGAGAAGCAAGAACUCCUUUACAGAAGCAAAGCAAAAAAUUCACCUGACACCUCGGACCACGGCCCAACCGCUGAAGUGUGGGAAGGAGACACUCGGUCCACGCUCCCCCACAGGCUUGACUUUCUCUCCCUCAAAAUCUCACUGCUGCAAAAU